AUGUGUGCCAUAUAAAUGUCUGUUCUUGCUCUGGUAGUGAAAUGGAGCUGGUUAGAAAAGAGACUUUCUGAAGGCCAUCCGACCUGGGCUGCAAGCAAGAACCACAUACACCUCGUGUUAAUCAUUAACACCACCUGCCUCUGAGGGAGGUUCCUGCCCAGAGGUGGGACUGACAGCACGAACAUCAGCCUCCCUGCUUUCCUCACCCUUUCAUCGGGGUCUGCUGAUGCUACAGCAGAAUGGUGAGUCAAGCACAAUCAGAUGUCCUUGGCUUCAUCUCCCUGCCCCACACCUCUCCUUCCCAGCACCGACUGUGGAUCCCUCCACUCCCACAUCCUCCUGUGCAGCACAGGCAGGAGGCAUGCCAAGUUCAGAUCUUCCUGAGUGAGGACAGGGCUCACAUAAGAAGGAAAUAUCAGGAGUGCUUAUCUGGGGUGAGCUGCAUUUGCCACUCACCAUUCACAGGGGACAGCUGGCAUGUGAAUUGUGUAUCUCUAAAUAAAACUUGUGAGGACAUAGCGGUGAGGAGAUGGGCAAAUGCCAUGUGAGCUGGGUUUUUCUGCUCUGUUUUUUAAACCCAGAGCAGAUUGACACUGUGGCAAACUCUUGAGUUUUUUUGCCUCUGAAAACUAGGCAGCAUCCCCUAAUAGCCUCAUACAUUGGAGAAGGAAUGAGUAGAUCGGCAUUUACAUAGCAGGAAGAACCACAUCUCUGCCUAUCAAAAGAUGCUUUCCAGUGGCUGAGCCUCGCUGGGUGAGCUGACCUUCCAGGCAACUGGCUUCCCACAGCGUGCGCCAGUCAUGCCACCAAAAUGUUAACUCACAUCACUUACAACACCUGUGUAAGCAGCUCAUUAAAUCGGGCCAGGUUGUGCCAUCCAGCACACCUGAUGGGCUUAAUGUGGUGUCUUGCCCUGGCGCUUGGGUUACCACCGGGCAGACGGGCUGUAAGUGACUGAGAAGGCAUUUUCCCAGAGGAGCUUCUGUUUUCCAGAGCUCAGGCAUUGUUGAUUAUUUUCCUUGUGUUGCCCAUUCCAAUCUUUCCUUUCCAAUCUUCUUACCCCCUAGAGGGCCUGUAUAGCUUUUUAGUAACCUUAAAUCAAAGCAUGAAAUCAGCAAUAGUCUGACUACGGACCAGCUCUGAGGACAAUACAUGGGCUUAUAAUAGCACGGUAUCAAGCCAUGGACCUGGCAGUGACCCUGCACAUGAGGGAGCUGAUUUAUCUAAGAGGCCAGAUUUUGUUUCCUUAUUGCUGCAAAGCCUCAAAAUGUAUUACGUGGGGAGGCCACAAGGAGUUUCAAUAAUGUGACUGGAAUUGCACGUAUCUUUACUGAAAUUACAGACUUAAUUCGCUGUCUUUUCAAAGAAAAGUGAGCCAGCAGGUACACAGCUCUCAGGUAACAGAAAGCAGCUAGCACCUACCACAUCUCCAGAUCACCACUUUGUUAGUCAGGUCACAGCUGUUGAGAUGCACCUUGCAACGUGGGUCACGUCCUGAGCUGAGAAGGAAGCCUGAAGCACCGGACUUAAACCACCAUCUCAUUCUGAAGUGAGCUGCAGGCAGCUGUCAGAUGGCAACACUGCACGCUAGCACGUGAGUGCGAACUGAGUCAGACUUGGAAAGUAAAGGCUUAGCUUCCACGCCUGCUCCUUGAAGCCAGACAAGAAAGGAAAAAAAAAAGGAAUAAGUAUCAGGAGAAAUAAUAAAAUUAAAUGCUUUUUAAA